GAAUGUAAUUGGGGGCAUUAGAUGUAAGAAGGGGGAAGGGAAAGUGGCACGAGGCUCGUCCAUUGCACUCCGGCUGUGCUGACCCCUGCGAAUUCCCCAAAUGUGGGAAUCUCGACUGCAUAAUGUAUGGUAGUGGGGGACUGCGUUCGCGCUCUCCCCUG